CCCUUAGAUGUUCUGGGCAGCACGCGCGCUACAAUGGUCUUCGCAAACGGAUGCAUUCUCGAAGGAGAAUGCCAAUCUUGGAAUCUAUGCCUUGGUCGGGACAGUUGCUUGCAAUUUUUCGACUCGAACCAGGAAUUCCUUGUAAUCGUGAUUCAUCACAUCACGAGGAAUACGUCCCUGCCCUUUGUACACACCGCCCGUCGCUCCUACCGAUCGAAGAGUUAGGUGAAUUGUUUUGAUCGAUAAGAUUUGACUAUGGUCAACUCUCGUUGUGAAAUUCUGUGAAUCUGACUGUUUAGAGGAAGGAAAAGUCGUAACA
rnacentral:rRNA from 1 species